GUUGCUGUUUGCGGUGGUCUAGGGAGGAAGAAGUUGACACACCUGGUAACGGCUGCUGUCAGCCUUACACAUCCCGGGACUCCCAUGGUGCUUUCGAGAAGGGGUUAUUCACAAUAUAAACAGGUAUCCAGCAUUGAGGACCUGCCCACUCCAAUGGAAAACCCUUAUAAAGAAUCUCUUAAGAAGUGUGUCUUGUGUGGAAAGCAUGUAAAUUAUAAGAAUGCACAGCUUUUGUCCCAGUUUGUUUCUCCAUUUACUGGAUGCAUUUAUGGAAGGCACGUUACAGGUCUUUGUGGGAAGAAACAGAAAGAAAUCACAAAAGCAAUUAAGAGAGCUCAAAUAAUGGGGUUUAUGCCAGUUACAUACAAAGAUCCUGCAUAUCUCAAGGACCCUAAAGUUUGUAACAUCAGAUAUCAGGAAUAA
rnacentral:lncRNA from 1 species